GACGAACGCUGGCGGCGUGCUUAACACAUGCAAGUCGAACGGAAAGGCCCUGCUUUUGUGGGGUGCUCGAGUGGCGAACGGGUGAGUAACACGUGAGUAACCCGCCCUUGACUUUGGGAUAACUUCAGGAAACUGGGGCUAAUACCGGAUAGGAGCUCCUGCUGCAUGGUGGGGGUUGGAAAGUUUCGGCGGUUGGGGAUGGACUCGCGGCUUAUCAGCUUGUUGGUGGGGUAGUGGCUUACCAAGGCUUUGACGGGUAGCCGGCCUGAGAGGGUGACCGGCCACAUUGGGACUGAGAUACGGCCCAGACUCCUACGGGAGGCAGCAGUGGGGAAUAUUGCACAAUGGGCGGAAGCCUGAUGCAGCAACGCCGCGUGCGGGAUGACGGCCUUCGGGUUGUAAACCGCUUUCGCCUGUGACGAAGCGUGAGUGACGGUAAUGGGUAAAGAAGCACCGGCUAACUACGUGCCAGCAGCCGCGGUGAUACGUAGGGUGCGAGCGUUGUCCGGAUUUAUUGGGCGUAAAGGGCUCGUAGGUGGUUGAUCGCGUCGGAAGUGUAAUCUUGGGGCUUAACCCUGAGCGUGCUUUCGAUACGGGUUGACUUGAGGAAGGUAGGGGAGAAUGGAAUUCCUGGUAGAGCGGUGGAAUGCGCAGAUAUCAGGAGGAACACCAGUGGCGAAGGCGGUUCUCUGGGCCUUUCCUGACGCUGAGGAGCGAAAGCGUGGGGAGCGAACAGGCUUAGAUACCCUGGUAGUCCACGCUGUAAACGGUGGGUACUAGGUGUGGGGUCCAUUCCACGGGUUCCGUGCCGUAGCUAACGCUUUAAGUACCCCGCCUGGGGAGUACGGCCGCAAGGCUAAAACUCAAAGGAAUUGACGGGGCCCCGCACAAGCGGCGGAGCAUGCGGAUUAAUUCGAUGCAACGCGUAGAACCUUACCUGGGUUUGACAUGGAUCGGGAGUGCUCAGAGAUGGGUGUGCCUCUUUUGGGGUCGGUUCACAGGUGGUGCAUGGCUGUCGUCAGCUCGUGUCGUGAGAUGUUGGGUUAAGUCCCGCAACGAGCGCAACCCUUGUUCACUGUUGCCAGCACGUUAUGGUGGGGACUCAGUGGAGACCGCCGGGGUCAACUCGGAGGAAGGUGGGGAUGACGUCAAGUCAUCAUGCCCCUUAUGUCCAGGGCUUCACGCAUGCUACAAUGGCUGGUACAGAGAGUGGCGAGCCUGUGAGGGUGAGCGAAUCUCGGAAAGCCGGUCUCAGUUCGGAUUGGGGUCUGCAACUCGACCUCAUGAAGUCGGAGUCGCUAGUAAUCGCAGAUCAGCAACGCUGCGGUGAAUACGUUCCCGGGGCU
rnacentral:rRNA from 1 species